UGAAGACGUACGACUACUUCCUCUACGUCGUGUCAUUGCUUCCGCAGUCGGUCUGCGUUGGGCACUCUGAUGGGAAUUGCGUGAUUUGUGCUAUUCUAGAAGAUGCUGACCAGACGGCCUUCAGAUGCAAUUAGCCCGCUUCAUGCGGAGUGCCGUUAGGGAAGCCGCGGGCACGAGCUGGAACGCUUCGUCGAGUGCUGAGCUUCUUACGAUCAUCGUCUCAGCUCUGUGUGGGUCGAUUCCGGGCACGAUAUGACAUUGUGUUGGGGCAUUUCUGUGGGCUCUUUGGCAUAUCCGCAACAAAAUUACUAUCAAGGCCAUUUUCCUGGCUCACCCGGUCCUUUCAAAUGCAUUCUCUUCUUUUAGCAAUGGGCAUCAUUGGGGAAGAAUGGGGACACUGAGGACAUGCAGCGGGCACUGAACAAGCUACACCACAUCCAUAGCAUCGCCGGUACUCCGUUCAGAGCCUGCGUGCUCUUGUUGGGCGUUCCUAGUCUUGUAAUCCUCUAGAAUUAUCUUUAACUUGAUUGAACUCCCUUGGUAUGUUU